rnacentral:lncRNA from 1 species
AUUAAUACUAUUACAUUAAAUAUGUAUGAGAGAGAAAUAUAAAACAUUAAACUUGUCAUUAAUUAAGUUUAUAUUUAAUUGGUUAGAUAAUAUGCAUAAAAGAGAAUAUAUACGCAUUCUUUUAGCAGUCCAAGAAAGGAAGAAAUCUGGGGAGUGUGGUAAACAUAGAUGCAAAUGAGACUGGAAAUUUCUCUGAUUGGUGAUGUGUGGGCAAGAUUUGGGUCAAAGUAGGGGAAGCAUGAGGAAUCCCAGGCUGGAGAGUAGUAUGAGCUAAAGGAAAAGAUAUAACCUGAGGACACUGAGUAGAUUUGUUUGGUUGGGGAAGAGCAAGGUUGACAGAGAAAUUGAGGGCUGCAAGGCAGAUUCUGAAGCACCAGUUGGUUGCUCAUAAUUACUGCAUGGGGACCCAGAGGUCUCCAAAGUCUCAUCUGAUAACAGUUCUCCCGUCAUUGUUCUAAGAAGGCUUUGGCAAUGCACUCAGCUUUGGGGUCAGGAGAUGGUUUGAUAACAUAACAGCUCCUUCCUGAUGCUGAGAUGGUUAGGGUGAGAAAAUGGAGUACAGGGGGAGGGUGCACUCUUAGGUUAUGUGCCAUGCUUAGGGAGGGAACUGUAUGUAGUCAUGUGUUCUCCAUAGGUGUUCUUAUCUGAGCCCUCCAUCCUACAGAUGAAAUUGGGGUCAAAAAAGGAACGUAUCUUCCACAGACAUUUCUAGAUGACACCAGUCUCAAGUGCAUCUCACACCACCUUGGAAUCCACAAAUAAUUUAGGGAAACAAAUGCAAUAAUUAUCUUUUCUGGAGCUCUGAGUGAGUACUGACUAAUUGAGCCACACUGUCUUUACAGUUAAAACUCAGAAGACUCUAGAAAUAUUCCACUAGGCAAUUAGAAUUGAGUUCCAUUUUAUUUGAUCCUGUGUUGGAGGAUAUAAAAAUAUUAAACACAUGCAAAACUUAUUUUGUCACUGAUAGUCAGACAAUGUACUUAAAUUAAUGUACUGGCAUGAAUGAUGGAGUAAUGCAUGCUGUUGAAAAAAAUUUUCAAACAUGCUUUCUGUUCUCAAGAAUUUUAUUAUUUAUGUAAAUAAUGAACACACAGGUGCAUAUACACAUAAGCACAUCGCCUAGAGAGUUGAACAUAAAUUUUUAUUUUUGAAAUGUAGACAAUCAGUUCAGUAUUGUGUACUGUACUUUCAUUUAAUGUGAAAUAGUAGAGCAGUCACUUGUGAUCAUCUAGGACAGAUUGGAUGAAAACACAGGUUUUAGGAAAUAGCUAAAUCAGGAUAAGAUCAUUUUCUUCUUUUGGUGGAAUGGUAAAUUGUGAAAUAUGGAAGGAAGUGGAGAUUUUUAAGCCAUCACUUUCACUUGAGGAACAGGGGUUCCAGAAAUGCUUUGCCUAUCAUGAUUUUUUCCUCAGUGUUUGGAGGACUGUCAGUUGGAAAAAGGUUUUUAUUUGUUCUGUACUCCCUCAGUGAGACUCUCCCCACCUUUCUCAGUUGUACACUUUGGGACUUUCCUCAUGAAGGCUCUCUUUUGCUCAAUCCAAGUACCAGUUUGAUCAGAACAGGGUUUGCCUUAUGGUCAAACCCUCCUGGGUUAUGAGAUGCAGGACUAGAAAUAAUGUAUGGUGUCUAACAAAGGCCUAAUUUUAGGUCCAAGUGAGGAGUAACUUGUAACUUCUAUUGAAAAAUGAAUAGGGUUCCAAGUGAGUUUGUGAGUAAGAAGAGUUUUUUCCCAUGAUUACCAACAAGAUAUGGGCAUGAAGCAUACACCAGCCACUGAGACCAAGAAAGAGUGCAGAAGUAAAGCUCUAAGAGGGAUGAGAAUGUGUAAUUACAACUCUUUGUUCCUGAGUGGUAAAUGUGUAGCUAGUGUGUGACAAGCUGUGCUGAAUACAGGUGGUCACCAGCAUUAGCCUGGUGAGAGAUUGAUUGUGACACUUGAGAGGACCUAAGUGUUGUGGUUUUGGGAAAUCAGCUCAUUCUCAGCAGAGCUUUAGGGGUUAGGAAGCAAGAAGCAUUCCCUGAGGAAUGAAGCUAAUAAAGUCAGGCAGGUAUCAAGGCCACAUUUAGACAGAGGAAGGGUGAUGUAAUGAAGCAGGGAUUUAAAAAACUGAUUUAGAGGCUAUGUAAAUAUUGGUCUUUCUCUUGACACAUCAGAUUCCAGAUAAAAGGUACCAGAUCCUAGGGUUCCCUGGUGGCCUAGUGGCCAAAGAUUCAGCAUUGUCACUGCUGUAACUUGUUGUUACUGCUGAGGCUUUGUGUUCAAUCACUGUCCUGGGGACCUCUGAAAAAAAAGAAAUAGGAAAAGGCACCAGAUUGCAAUAAAGCAGAAAUACUCCCACAUACAUCUUGCUAAAUAAGGCCAAAACUGCAGUAAGAUUUCAGGCUUCUCUGAAGACCUAUUUUAGAGCUGGUUCAAGUGAUCGCCUGAAAGGCAUAAGGGACUUAAUUAUUGAGGACUUAUGUACCCAUCAUUUGUCUAGAUAGUAAAACUGUAAUUAGGAACAAACUAGACCCAGCUCUGCUCUCUGUAAAUUCUAGUGUGGCGGGAUAGAGGAAUAAUUAAAUCAGAAUGUGAAGUUGAAUGUGUACUUUCUUAUAUAGAAAGUACUAUGCACAAAGGUCAUAUAGCAAUGGCUUAGCUAGGACAGGAGGAGUUGAAGAAUACCUUUUAGAGGAACAUUUCUCAACAUUGGCAUGGUUGACAUUUUGGGGCAAGAUAAUUCUUGUAUGUAUAUGUGUGUACAUGUGUUGUGUUGAUGUCCUGUGAAUUUUAGGAAGUUUACCAGCAUCUCUAGUCUCAACACACUGGAUGCCAGUUGUACUAGCUAAAAAUGUCCCCUGAGGAUUAAAAUUACCCCAGUUGAGAAGUGCUGUCUUAGAGGAAGGAACAUAUAAGCUGUGAUCUGAAUUUGACAUGAAGGUGUAGAGGCUGAUGACUAGUUUUCUGUUUUGGAAAAUUGUGUAGCUUGGCAGUCCCCUUCCUUGAGAUAGAGCACACAGGAGAAGAACUAGUUUUGUAGGGAGACUAUGUUGAGUUCAAUAUUAAACAUGCUAAGUUCCAAGUGCUUAGGGGACAUCCAAGUGCAGAUGACCAGCAAGAAGAAGGAUUAAAGCAGUCUGAAGUUCAGAAGAAAGAUUAGGGGUGGAAAGGUACACUUAAGUGUUCUCAACAUGUGAUUCAAGUCCUGGAGUGGAUGGUGUUUUCCAGGAAAGGCCUGCAGAGUGGUAAAAGAGGAUCUGGGAUGGAGCCCUGAGGAGGAAUUCCAAUAUGUAACAAAUGCACAGAAAAAUAAGAUUACACCAAAGAGACCAGGGGAUGGGCAGAGAAGAUGAAAAACAUCCAGGAAAGGAAGGGUAGAAUUUUCAUAUAGAAGGAGGCAGUAGCCAACACAUUAAAAUUCAGAGACAGGGAAUUCCCAUUGCGGUGCAGCGGAAACGAAUCUGACUAGGAACCAUGACAUUGCAGGUUCGAUCCCUGGCCUAGCUUAGUGGGUUAAGGAUAUGGCGUUGCCAUGAGCUGUGGUGUAGGUUGCAGAUGCAGCUUGGAUCUGGCAUUUCUGUGGCUGUAGAGUAGGCUGGCAGCUAUAGCUCUGAUUAGAUACCUAGCCUGGGAACCUCCAUAUGACAUGGGUGCAGCCCUAAAAAGACAAAAAAAAAAUUCAGAGACAAAUAUAAGAGCUGAAAAUUUCUCUGGAUUUUCCCACAGAGAGUUGUGAGGAUAAAUCCCCUAUUGCAGUGGGUUGAAGAGUGAGUGUGAAGGAGGAGAGUUGAAAUAUUGAACACAGGCAAUUCUUUUGUCAAAGUAAUGUAUGGAGGAGGAGGACAGAGGGCCAUAACUAGAAGGGAACAUGCGGUGAAAGGGGACUUUUAAAAUAGGAGAGAAUUGCUCAGAUAUCAUUUCUGUAGGGAAAGAAAAAGUAGGGAGGGGGAUGUUAAGAAUACAUUAGAAUUCUGUGAAUUUUUAUUAGCAUUGUGUUGGGCACUUGAAUAACUCUUUACAGCAUAUUUUAUUAACCUGAGUUUAGUCAUGGAGAGUACAGAAUUUCAUUCUUCCAGAAUUUAGUGUAUGGGGCAGAAUAACUACAAGUUAAGGAUAUUAGUACAAAAAGAGUUGAUGUGGUGGAUUAAUAAUCCAAAGCACAUAAAGAAGGAAGUAAUGAGCUGAUAGACAUGGGGUAAAUGAAGGAGUAAAGGACUAUGUGUGAGGAAAUGAAGUGGGGACUUCAUUUUAAAAGAAUGUAUGUAUAUAUAUGAUUGGGUCACUUUGCUGUACAGCAGAAAUUGACAGAACAUUGUAAAUCAACUAUAAUAUAAAAAGUUAAAAUCUAAAAAAAUGUUCUGAGUUUGAGAUCCUGUGGGAGUCAUUCAUUAAAUGGUUCAAGGGAGAACAUGGAAAUGACAUUUAAGUUUCCUUCAAAGCUAAAAAUGCUACAGUCUAGACUAGAUUUUUAUCUAGUCAGAGCUGACAUUUGGUAAAAUUCAGCAAUCGAGUGGACAUUGACUUGCAUUGCUUUUGGUCAGUAUACCCUUAGUAGUGUCUUCUAUUUUGUAAGUAAAUUGUGGUUAAGUUUAAUCUCCUCCAUUCUCAUAUCCAACUGAGGUUUAUAAGCUAAGAUCUAGUUAUUAUCUUAUCUCUUGGUUUAGGGCUCUUUUUUUCUUCAUGAGAUUUCUUUGGAUUAUUGUUAUCUCAUACAUUAUAUUAAUUAUAUUUUAUACUUUUGUUCAAUUGCAAACAUAUUAAGUUUAUCUCUAUGGUGUCAUAGAAAUUUCUGAUAAACCUAUGGAGCAGAAAUUGUUACAAAUAUUUUCCACUAAAUACUGGAAUAACACGAAUGAUUAAAAAUCUUUGCCACAUU